GACGAACGCUGGCGGCGUGCUUAACACAUGCAAGUCGAACGGAAAGGCCCUGCUUUUGUGGGGUGCUCGAGUGGCGAACGGGUGAGUAACACGUGAGUAACCUGCCCUUGACUUUGGGAUAACUUCAGGAAACUGGGGCUAAUACCGGAUAGGAGCUCCUGCUGCAUGGUGGGGGUUGGAAAGUUUCGGCGGUUGGGGAUGGACUCGCGGCUUAUCAGCUUGUUGGUGGGGUAGUGGCUUACCCAGGCUUUGACGGGUAGCCGGCCUGAGAGGGUGACCGGCGACAGUGGGACUGAGAUACGGCCCAGAGUCCUACGGGAGGCAGCAGUGGGGAAUAUUGCACAAUGGGCGGAAGCCUGAUGCAGAAACGCCGCGUGCGGGAUGACGGCCUUCGGGUUGUAAACCGCUUUCGCCUGUGACGAAGCGUGAGUGACGGUAAUGGGUAAAGAAGCACCGGCUAACUACGUG
rnacentral:rRNA from 1 species